GGAAGUGACAUCAUCACUUGGCUUCACUCCCUCCACAACUCAACACCUGGAAACAUGCCUGGAGAACAAAGACUUUGAACUCAGAAAGGAGAAUCCCAGCUUGUGUAUUAAGGAACUAUACCAUCAGGAUUAGAUAAAAAAAGAAGAAGCUACUGGUUUGGAGAACAUUUUUGUAUUGCUCAAGCUAGUUUCAAUACAGAAGAUGAAAUGCAUCCAUUAACUGAGAAUGAAGUCCAAUAUGUUUCACAUUACCAAAAGUUAAAAAAUCAACAUAAUAGAAGACAAGAUUGAAACGGCUCCCACUGAAACUCUAGAACGUAAUAAUACCCACCUCUGGGUAGUGAGCAAAUACAGGAUUAUCCCACUCUGAAAACAAGGACUGGAGAGACUCCCCAUCAGCAUCUAGAAGAGAAUUUGUGUAUAACAUGGAGAGUAAGAAAGCCUAGGAGUGCCAACAGAAGAUGUACUCAGAUUGUUCAUUCCCACCAAGCUGGGACCCUCAAGCUCGCACUGUCUGGGUUUCUUUUUUCUUUUAUUUUUUGAAUAAAAGGGAGAAAAAGAGACAAGAGAAUGCUCCUUCCUAUUGUCAGAUGGGAGUAGGACUCUGGGCAGCUUCUCUGACUAGAGUAUACACUACAGAACAACCCAACAAAAUCUGGAAAGGAAAAGAUGGAUAAACUCAGCUGCCCACUCCCUCUGGACAAAGCCACAUACCAAAACACUGAUUUCAUCGUUUCUUGGGAAAGAGUCCCAAGGACUAAACUAAUUUCUACACUCAGACUGGAAUGUGAGGACAGACACGGGGAUUAUAUAAUUGCUCU